CGCUGACUGUGGACUGAACCAUAAAAGAGAGAGAGAGAGAGCGAUCUGCAGACAGGCAGUCGGCCAGUCUAAAGAGAGAGAGAGAGAGAGAGAGAGACUGGAAAAGCUGAUCGCUUCAGUUAGUCGCAGCUGAGGAUUGGAACUCUCCUCUGCCCACAAGAGUGGGUUGAUCAUCGGUACACGGAACCACAAAGAACGUCUGUGGCUGUCACUUCGUAUAAUCAAUAGGAGUGGGUUAUGGAAUAUCUUGUGUUAACCCUUGCCUGGGCAUGUUGUGUGGCAACCCCUGGAAAACGGUAUUCCUGUGACAGGUCACUUUCGCUGAUAACUCGUCUGUGGACGGAUUCAACGGAUAAGAACUUCGACGGCGAUUAUUUUGAAGUAAUGGCCUUUUCUCUACGUUUCACCCUGGAUCACAAAUAUCUCUGUCCCAUCAUUCCGUGUAUUACUGAACAUUCCUACUUUACCAUCUCAGGAAUCUAAGCUUUGUCCCCUCUGGCUCGAUAGUCUGGGAAUUACAUUUACACAUAUAUACACUUAACACUGUCAACUUUCCUUUAUUUCAUUAAGUUACUAUACACUAAUAAAGAGAAUGGUUUUAACAUCAAAACCAGACUCCGCUGUGAACUCUGUUGCUGCUGGUUCGUUUCUAAAACGUUGCAGCUCGUAACACAGUUUUAUAAAACUAGUUAGACCACAUCUGGAGUGUUUCACACAGUUCUGGUCGCCCCCAUUCUCGGAAGGAUGUCGGGGCUUUGGAGAGGGCGCAGAAGAGGUUUACCAGGACACUGCCUGGAUUAGAGGGCAUGAGCUAUAACGAGAGGCUGGACAAACUUGUGUUGUUUUCUCCAGAGCGGCGCAGGCUGGGGUGAGACUGGAUUGACGUUUAUAAGAUUACGAGAGGAAUAGAUAGAGUGGAUAGACGAUAUAUUUUUCCUGGGUGUUAAAAUGUCUAAUACAUUUAAGGUGAGAUGAGAUGUGAGCGGCAGGUUUGCUUCUUUCCACAGACUAAUGUGUAGUUGGAGUCUCUGCCUGGGGGGAGGGGGGGAGGUGUCACCAAUCCUGACACGUGAUCCCGUUUGCCCCUCCCAUUUAACCGUAGAUUGGCAGCACCUGCGCGUCCCCGCCUCCCGAUGAUGUAACAAUCCCUUCGCGCAUGUUCACAGUCUCCGGGUGGACGGUGUUUUCCUCUCCGCUCAGAGCUGAAGUGGGUCGGCUGUGUGUUCGGGAAAGACUUUCGUCUCUUCCGUCGGGAUCACUGUCUGCGGGCCGAAGAUAUCACUUUCCCAUCGUUAGACCUGCAGUGAGAGAUUUAUUGGAAGAAAAACCACGACUGAAGACGAGGGAACAGCAACAAGUGAAACAGCCCGAGGAUUGAGAGCACCGACUGGAGAGAACCCGUCUGACUCGGAGAUUCCAGUGAUUCAAUCAGGAGAAAGUUGGCCUGCUACAUAGAUUGUGUGAAAGUGCAGAUGAACUGGAUCGAACCCAGAGGAGUUCAAAGUUCCUAUCGACUGUGAUUUACCAACUGUGAAAAUGAAUACCUCUCUGUAUAAAAUUCACUGUGCACAUCUUGUCACUGGGUAAAAAAUGAACAGUACACGAUUCAUGUGCACACUGGUUACUACAAAUUAGAGGGAAUAUUGGAGGGAAGGAGGGGAGACUUCCAGUGUCCCUGAUGCCCUCACCUACAAGAUGUGUAUUCAGCUGCAGUUUGUAACCCUGCACUUUAAG